AACGAACGCUGGCGGCAUGCCUAACACAUGCAAGUCGAACGGAUCCUUCGGGAUUAGUGGCGCACGGGUGCGUAACGCGUGGGAAUCUGCCCUGGGGUACGGAAUAACUCGGAGAAAUCCGUGCUAAUACCGUAUGAUGUCUUCGGACCAAAGAUUUAUCGCCCUGGGAUGAGCCCGCGUAGGAUUAGCUAGUUGGUGGGGUAAAGGCCUACCAAGGCGACGAUCCUUAGCUGGUCUGAGAGGAUGAUCAGCCACACUGGGACUGAGACACGGCCCAGACUCCUACGGGAGGCAGCAGUGGGGAAUAUUGGACAAUGGGCGCAAGCCUGAUCCAGCAAUGUCGCGUGAGUGAUGAAGGCCUUAGGGUUGUAAAGCUCUUUUACCCGGGAAGAUAAUGACUGUACCGGGAGAAUAAGCCCCGGCUAACUCCGUGCCAGCCGCCGCCGUAACAC
rnacentral:rRNA from 1 species